rnacentral:rRNA from 1 species
AUUGAACGCUGGCGGCAUGCCUUACACAUGCAAGUCGAACGGUAACAGGUCUUCGGAGGCUGACGAGUGGCGAACGGGUGAGUAAUACAUCGGAACGUGCCUAGUAGUGGGGGAUAACUACUCGAAAGAGUGGCUAAUACCGCAUGAGAUCUACGGAUGAAAGCAGGGGAUCGCCAGACCUUGUGCUACUAGAGCGGCCGAUGGCAGAUUAGGUAGUUGGUGGGAUAAAAGCUUACCAAGCCGACGAUCUGUAGCUGGGCUGAGAGGACGAUCAGCCACACUGGGACUGAGACACGGCCCAGACUCCUACGGGAGGCAGCAGUGGGGAAUUUUGGACAAUGGGCGAAAGCCUGAUCCAGCAAUGCCGCGUGCAGGAUGAAGGCCUUCGGGUUGUAAACUGCUUUUGUACGGAACGAAAAGCCCCGGGUUAAUACCCUGGGGUCAUGACGGUACCGUAAGAAUAAGCACCGGCUAACUACGUGCCAGCCGCCGCAGUAA